GAUGAACGCUGGCGGCGUGCCUAAUACAUGCAAGUCGAGCGAACAGACGCGGUUCUUGCUCCUCUGACGUUAACGGCGGACGGGUGAGUAACAUGUGGAUAACCUACCUAUAAGACUGGUAUAACUUCGGGAAACCGGUGCUAAUACCGGAUAAUAUAUUGAACCGCAUGGUUCAAUAGUUACAGACGGUUUUGCUGUCACUGCUGCAUAUAUCCGCGCGGCAUUGGCUAGUUGGUAAGGUAACGGCUGACCAAGGCAACGAUGCGUAGCCGACCUGAGAGGGUGAUCGGCCACACUGGGACUGAGACACGGUCCAGACUCCUACGGGAGGCAGCAGUAGGGAAUGUUGCGCGAUGGGCGGAAGCCUGACGGAGCGACGCCGCGUGAGUGAUGAAGGUCUUCGGAUCGUAAGACUCUGUUAUGGGGGAAGAACAAAUGUGUAAGUAGCGAUGCACGUCUUGACGGUACCUAAACAGGAAGCCACGGCUAACUACGUG
rnacentral:rRNA from 1 species